rnacentral:rRNA from 1 species
AGAGUUUGAUCAUGGCUCAGGAUGAACGCUAGCGACAGGCUUAACACAUGCAAGUCGAGGGGCAGCAUAGAAGUAGCAAGUACUUGGUAGGCGACCGGCGCACGGGUGAGUAACGCGUAUGCAACCUACCUAUCAGAGGGGAAUAACCCGGCGAAAGUCGGACUAAUACCGCAUAAAAACAGGGGCACCGCAAUGGUGAUAUUUGUUAAAGAAAUUCGCUGAUAGAUGGGCAUGCGUUCCAGUUAGGUAGUUGGUGAGGUAACGGCUCACCAAGCCGACGAUGGAUAGGGGAACUGAGAGGUUGGUCCCCCACACUGGUACUGAGACACGGACCAGACUCCUACGGGAGGCAGCAGUGAGGAAUAUUGGUCAAUGGGCGGGAGCCUGAACCAGCCAAGUCGCCGUGAAGGAAGAAGGAUCUAUGGUUCGUAAACUUCUUUUGCAGGGGAAUAAAGUGCAGGACGUGUCCUGUUUUGUAUGUACCCUGAGAAUAAGGAUCGGCUAACUCCGUGCCAGCCGCGGC